rnacentral:rRNA from 1 species
CAGUAGCCGCGGUAAAACGAAGGGGGCUAGCGUUGUUCGGAUUUACUGGGCGUAAAGGGCGCGUAGGCGGGCGAAUAAGUCAGGGGUGAAAUCCCAAGGCUCAACCUUGGAACUGCCUUGAUACUGUUUGUCUUGAGUUCGAGAGAGGUAAGUGGAACUGCGAGUGUAGAGGUGAAAUUCGUAGAUAUUCGCAAGAACACCAGUGGCGAAGGCGGCUUACUGGCUCGAAACUGACGCUGAGGCGCGAAAGCGUGGGGAGCAAACAGGAUUAGAUACCCGGGUAGUCCCUGUCUCUUAUACA